GAGUUUGAUCUUGGCUCAGAUUGAACGCUGGCGGCAUGCCUUACACAUGCAAGUCGAACGGCAGCACGGGAGCUUGCUCCUGGUGGCGAGUGGCGAACGGGUGAGUAAUGCAUCGGAACGUAUCCUGGAGUGGGGGAUAACGUAGCGAAAGUUACGCUAAUACCGCAUAUUCUGUGAGCAGGAAAGCGGGGGACCUUCGGGCCUCGCGCUCUUGGAGCGGCCGAUGUCGAAUUAGCUAGUUGGUGAGGUAAAGGCUCACCGAGGCGACGAUCCGUAGCAGGUCUGAGAGGAUGAUCUGCCACACUGGAACUGAGACACGGUCCAGACUCCUACGGGAGGCAGCAGUGGGGAAUUUUGGACAAUGGGGGCAACCCUGAUCCAGCCAUGCCGCGUGAGUGAAGAAGGCC
rnacentral:rRNA from 1 species